UACAGAGGUCCCGAGCGUUGUUCGGAUUCACUGGGCGUAAAGGGUGCGUAGGCGGUUCUGAAAGUCUGAUGUGAAAUCUCCGGGCCCAACCCGGAAAUGGCAUUAGAAACUACAGGGCUAGAGGCUUGGAGGGGGAACUGGAAUUCUCGGUGUAGCAGUGGAAUGCGUAGAGAUCGAGAGGAACACCAGUGGCGAAGGCGAGUUCCUGGACAAGUCCUGACGCUGAGGCACGAAAGCCAGGGGAGCAAACAGG
rnacentral:rRNA from 1 species